GCACCGGGAGAUGGGUACUCUGUGGGGACCGCCGCUGCUAAAUCGGAGGAGGUGCGGGCUACGGUAGGUCAGUAUGCCCCGAAUUUCCGGGCUACACGCGGGCUACAAUGGGUGGGACAAUGGGUCCCUCCACUGAAAAGGGAUGGUAAUCUCCCAAACCCAUCCUUAGUUCGGAUCGAGGGCUGUAACUCGCCCUCGUGAAGCUGGAAUCCGUAGUAAUCGCGUUUCAAUAUAGCGCGGUGAAUACGUCCCUGCUCCUUGCACAA
rnacentral:rRNA from 1 species